AUGCGCUAUAUAGAUUAUUAUCGGAUAACUAAGUUGCAUAUAUAGAUUGAUAUCGGAUAACUAGAUUGUUAUCUAAUAUGUUAUCUGAUAAUUAGAUCGUUAUCAAUUAUGUUAUCGGAUAAUUAGAUUGUUAUCAAAUAAUGAAAUUCUUACAAAACGAUAGUAAAGUAUAAAACUCAACAAAAAUACAACACAACUGAAUCCCUAAAUAUGAUACAUUUAGAUAAGGGAUAACACAUUAAUUAGUAUAAUAUUUUUGUUAAUAUGUGUGGAUAUUAUCGGAUAACGAAAAGGUUAUAUGCUUAGGUGAGAGAUAAAGAGAGAGAGAAAGAUAUAAGAAGAGAACGAGAAUCGAUGUUUAUUUGUUUAUCUAAGUGAUAGAUAGGGGUAAAAACGUCUGGAAAAAAGAAAACUAAAUAUUGAGUUAUGGAUGUUAGAUAUUUAAUUAAUUGGUCAACUGAGGCUACCAAAU
rnacentral:lncRNA from 1 species